UACGUAGGGGGCAAGCGUUGUCCGGAAUCAUUGGGCGUAAAGCGCGUGUAGGCGGCUUCGUCAGUCCGUUGUGAAAGUCCAGGGCUCAACCCUGGAAUGCCGAUGGAUACUGCGGAGCUAGAGUCCGGAAGAGGCGAGUGGAAUUCCUGGUGUAGCGGUGAAAUGCGCAGAUAUCAGGAGGAACACCAAUGGCGAAGGCAGCUCGCUGGAACGGUACUGACGCUGAGGCGCGAAAGCGUGGGGAGCAAACAGG
rnacentral:rRNA from 1 species